rnacentral:piRNA from 1 species
UGCAAGAACUCUUCUUGGCUAUGGCAUUU